AGGAGGUUUUGUAGUAUAAAUUUAAUAUAUUAAUUUGCAAAGUUAAAGAUGUUUUUAUAC
rnacentral:tRNA from 1 species